rnacentral:rRNA from 1 species
AUUGAACGCUGGCGGCAGGCCUAACACAUGCAAGUCGAGCGGAUGACGGGAGCUUGCUCCUUGAUUCAGCGGCGGACGGGUGAGUAAUGCCUAGGAAUCUGCCUGGUAGUGGGGGACAACGUUUCGAAAGGAACGCUAAUACCGCAUGCGUCCUACGGGAGAAAGCAGGGGACCUUCGGGCCUUGCGCUAUCAGAUGAGCCGAGGUCGGAUUAGCUAGUUGGCGGGGUAAUGGCUCACCAAGGCGACGAUCCGUAACUGGUCUGAGAGGAUGAUCAGUCACACUGGAACUGAGACACGGUCCAGACUCCUACGGGAGGCAGCAGUGGGGAAUAUUGGACAAUGGGCGAAAGCCUGAUCCAGCCAUGCCGCGUGUGUGAAGAAGGUCUUCGGAUUGUAAAGCACUUUAAGUUGGGAGGAAGGGCAGUAAGUUAAUACCUUGCUGUUUUGACGUUACCGACAGAAUAAGCACCGGCUAACUCUGUGCCAGCCGCCGCGGUAAAAC